rnacentral:rRNA from 1 species
CAGUCGCCGCGGGAAUACGUAGGGUGCGAGCGUUGUCCGGAAUUACUGGGCGUAAAGGGCUCGUAGGUGGUUUGUCGCGUCGUCUAUGAAAUUCUGGGGCUUAACUCCGGGCGUGCAGGCGAUACGGGCAUAACUUGAGUGCUGUAGGGGUAACUGGAAUUCCUGGUGUAGCGGUGAAAUGCGCAGAUAUCAGGAGGAACACCGAUGGCGAAGGCAGGUUACUGGGCAGUUACUGACGCUGAGGAGCGAAAGCAUGGGUAGCGAACAGGAUUAGAUACCCCGGUAGUCCCUGUCUCUUAUA